AGUAACGCGUAGGAAUCUACCUAAUAGUGGGGGAUAACGUUCCGAAAGGAACGCUAAUACCGCAUACGUUCCGAGGAAGAAAGCAGGGGACCGCAAGGCCUUGCGCUAUUAGAUGAGCCUGCGUCCGAUUAGCUAGUUGGUAGGGCAAAGGCCUACCAAGGCGACGAUCGGUAACUGGUCUGAGAGGAUGAUCAGUCACACUGGAACUGAGACACGGUCCAGACUCCUACGGGAGGCAGCAGUGGGGAAUAUUGGACAAUGGGGGCAACCCUGAUCCAGCCAUGCCGCGUGUGUGAAGAAGGCCUUCGGGUUGUAAAGCACUUUAAGCGGGGAGGAAGGCUCGAUAGCUAAUAUCUAUCGGGAUUGACGUUACCCGCAGAAUAAGCACCGGCAAACUUCGUG
rnacentral:rRNA from 1 species